UACGGGGGGGGCAAGCGUUGUUCGGAAUUACUGGGCGUAAAGGGCUCGUAGGCGGCCAACUAAGUCGGAUGUGAAAUCCCCAGGCUUAACCUGGGAACUGCAUCCGAUACUGGAUGGCUUGAAUCCGGGAGAGGGAUGCAGAAUUCCAGGUGUAGCGGUGAAAUGCGUAGAUAUCUGGAGGAAUACCGGUGGCGAAGGCGGCAUCCUGGACCGGCAUUGAUGCUGAUGAGCGAAAGCUAGGGGAGCAAACGGG
rnacentral:rRNA from 1 species